rnacentral:rRNA from 1 species
AGUGAACGCUGGCGGUAGGCCUAACACAUGCAAGUCGAACGGCAGCACAGUAAGAGCUUGCUCUUACGGGUGGCGAGUGGCGGACGGGUGAGGAAUACAUCGGAAUCUACUUUUUCGUGGGGGAUAACGUAGGGAAACUUACGCUAAUACCGCAUACGACCUACGGGUGAAAGCAGGGGAUCUUCGGACCUUGCGCGAUUGAAUGAGCCGAUGUCGGAUUAGCUAGUUGGCGGGGUAAAGGCCCACCAAGGCGACGAUCCGUAGCUGGUCUGAGAGGAUGGUCGGCCGCACUGGAAGUGAGACACGGUCCAGGCUCCUACGGGAGGCAGCAGUGGGGAAUAUUGGACAAUGGGGGCAAGCCUGAUCCAGCCAUCCCGCGUGGGUGAAGAAGGCCUUCGGGUUGUAAAGCCCUUUUGUUGGGAAAGAAAAGCAGCAGGUUAAUACCCCGCUGUUCUGACGGUACCCAAAGAAUAAGCACCGGCUAACUUCGUG